rnacentral:rRNA from 1 species
UUAUACAUGCAAGUCGAGGGGCAUCAGGUCUAAACCUAGUUUAGAUGCUGGCGACCGGCGCACGGGUGAGUAACGCGUACACUACCUACCUUGUACUGGGGAAUAGCCCUGGGAAACUGGGAUUAAUACUCCAUAGUAUCGAAAGAUUAAAGCUUUGGCGGUACGAGAUGGGUGUGCGUCUGAUUAGCUAGUUGGUGAGGUAACGGCAACACCAAGGCGACGAUCAGUAGGGGGCGUGAGAGCGUGACCCCCCACACGGGUACUGAGACACGGACCCGACUCCUACGGGAGGCAGCAGUAAGGAAUAUUGGACAAUGGGCGAAAGCCUGAUCCAGCCAUCCCGCGUGCAGGAUGAAGGCCCUAUGGGUUGUAAACUGCUUUUAUCUGGGAAGAAACCUGUUUAUUUAUAAGCAGCUGACGGUACCAGAGGAAUAAGCACCGGCUAACUCCGUGCCAGCAGCCGCGGUAAUACGGAGGGUGCAAGCGUUAUCCGGAAUCACUGGGUUUAAAGGGUGCGUAGGCGGCACGAUAAGUCAGGGGUGAAAGGCCGUAGCUUAACUAUGGGACUGCCUUUGAUACUGUUGUGCUUGAAUAGAGUUGAGGUUGGCGGAAUGUGGCAUGUAGCGGUGAAAUGCAUAGAUAUGCCAUAGAACACCGAUUGAGAAGUCAGCUGGCUAGACUCUUAUUGACGCUGAGGCACGAAAGCGUGGGGAUCAAACAGGAUUAGAUACCCUGGUAGUCCACGCCCUAAACGAUGCUUACUCGACGUGUGUCUUACGGGAUGCGCGUCCAAGGGAAACCGUUAAGUAAGCCACCUGGGGGAGUACGUUCGCAAGAAUGAAACUCAAAUGAAUUGACGGA